rnacentral:tRNA from 1 species
CUUUAUAUAGUUUAAAAAACAUUACACUUUCACUGUAAAAUUAGACUUUAGUCUUAUAAAUA